rnacentral:lncRNA from 1 species
UUUUUUGGGGGGGGUGGGGGUUAGAAUACUUCUGAGAUAAAUUAGGAAAAAAAUUCUAUGAAAUCCUUAACUCAUUUGCUGUAUUUCAAAGGAGGAUUACUCAGCAUGUAGGUUAUCCAAAACUUCACUUUCUACCCCUCUGUCUUCUAGAAAGAGUUAUUCAUUCUUAGCACUUCUAACAGAAACCAGAAUAAGAAAUUAAAAUGAAAGGAUAUCAUUUUUUUGAAGUGAUGGGGGGAGGGGUGUUUGCAGAAACUGCUAGUAAACAAAAAAGUUAAAAAAUGCCUUGACUGAGUGAAAUCCAGUAAGAAAGGAAUGUAUAAAUAUUUGUGUUUAUAUCACAUAAUUUGUGUGUAUUUUCCAAGUAAGUUAGUUCUAUAUUCAAUAAAAUUUAAAUUAUUGGAGUAUAUUCUGAGCAUUUAAGCAUUCCAUGGGAUUUUUAGUAAUAUAAGUCCUAUUCUUGGGCUAUUAAAAAUAAUAUUUGCAUGCACCUGAAG